rnacentral:rRNA from 1 species
GGUUAAGCGACUAAGCGUACACGGUGGAUGCCUAGGCAGUCAGAGGCGAUGAAGGGCGUGCUAAUCUGCGAUAAGCGUCGGUAAGGUGAUAUGAACCGUUAUAGCCGACGAUACCCGAAUGGGGAAACCCAGUGUGUUUCGACACAUUAUCAUCACAUGAAUACAUAGUGUGAUGAGGCGAACCGGGGGAACUGAAACAUCUCAGUACCCCGAGGAAAAGAAAUCAACCGAGAUUCCCCCAGUAGCGGCGAGCGAACGGGGAGGAGCCCAGAGUCUGCAUCAGCUUGUGUGUCAGUGGAAGCGUCUGGAAAGUCGCACAACAAAGGGUGAAAGUCCCGUACACGAAGAUGCACAAGUUGUGAGCUCGAUGAGUAGGGCGGGACACGAGAUAUCCUGUCUGAAGAUGGGGGGACCAUCCUCCAAGGCUAAAUACUCCUGACUGACCGAUAGUGAACCAGUACCGUGAGGGAAAGGCGAAAAGAACCCCGGCGAGGGGAGUGAAAUAGAACCUGAAACCGUGUACGUACAAGCAGUGGGAGCCUUGAUUAAUCAGGGUGACUGCGUACCUUUUGUAUAAUGGGUCAGCGACUUAUAUUCUGUAGCAAGGUUAACCGAAUAGGGGAGCCGCAGGGAAACCGAGUCUUAACUGGGCGUUAAGUUGCAGGGUAUAGACCCGAAACCCGGUGAUCUAGCCAUGGGCAGGUUGAAGGUUGGGUAACACUAACUGGAGGACCGAACCGACUAAUGUUGAAAAAUUAGCGGAUGACUUGUGGCUGGGGGUGAAAGGCCAAUCAAACCGGGAGAUAGCUGGUUCUCCCCGAAAGCUAUUUAGGUAGCGCCUCGUGAAUUCAUCUUCGGGGGUAGAGCACUGUUUCGACUAGGGGGUCAUCCCGACUUACCAACUCGAUGCAAACUGCGAAUACCGAAGAAUGUUAUCACGGGAGACACACGGCGGGUGCUAACGUCCGUCGUGAAGAGGGAAACAACCCAGACCGCCAGCUAAGGUCCCAAAGUCAUGGUUAAGUGGGAAACGAUGUGGGAAGGCCCAGACAGCCAGGAUGUUGGCUUAGAAGCAGCCAUCAUUUAAAGAAAGCGUAAUAGCUCACUGGUCGAGUCGGCCUGCGCGGAAGAUGUAACGGGGCUAAACCAUGCACCGAAGCUGCGGCAGCGACACUAUGUGUUGUUGGGUAGGGGAGCGUUCUGUAAGCCGUUGAAGGUGGCCUGUGAGGGUUGCUGGAGGUAUCAGAAGUGCGAAUGCUGACAUAAGUAACGAUAAUGCGGGUGAAAAACCCGCACGCCGGAAGACCAAGGGUUCCUGUCCAACGUUAAUCGGGGCAGGGUGAGUCGACCCCUAAGGCGAGGCCGAAAGGCGUAGUCGAUGGGAAACAGGUUAAUAUUCCUGUACUGGUUGUUACUGCGAAGGGGGGACGGAGAAAGCUAGGUUGGCCGGGCGACGGUUGUCCCGGUUUAAGCGUGCAGGUGGGUGUUUUUGGUAAAUCCGGAACACUGUUAACACUGAGGCGUGAUGACGAGUCACUACGGUGAUGAAGUAACCGAUGCUACGCUUCCAGGAAAAGCCUCUAAGCUCUAGGUAACAAUCAAUCGUACCCCAAACCGACACAGGUGGUCAGGUAGAGAAUACUCAGGCGCUUGAGAGAACUCGGGUGAAGGAACUAGGCAAAAUGGUGCCGUAACUUCGGGAGAAGGCACGCUGGAUUUGGUGAAGUCCCUUGCGGAUGGAGCUGAGACCAGUCGCAGAUACCAGCUGGCUGCAACUGUUUAAUAAAAACACAGCACUGUGCAAACACGAAAGUGGACGUAUACGGUGUGACGCCUGCCCGGUGCCGGAAGGUUAAUUGAUGGGGUAAGCUUUCGGGCGAAGCUCUUGAUCGAAGCCCCGGUAAACGGCGGCCGUAACUAUAACGGUCCUAAGGUAGCGAAAUUCCUUGUCGGGUAAGUUCCGACCUGCACGAAUGGCGUAAUGAUGGCCAGGCUGUCUCCACCCGAGACUCAGUGAAAUUGAACUCGCUGUGAAGAUGCAGUGUACCCGCGGCAAGACGGAAAGACCCCGUGAACCUUUACUAUAGCUUGACACUGAACCUUGAGCCUUGAUGUGUAGGAUAGGUGGGAGGCUUUGAAGCGUGGACGCCAGUCUGCGUGGAGCCAACCUUGAAAUACCACCCUUUAAUGUUUGAUGUUCUAACGUGGGCCCCUGAGCGGGGUUGCGGACAGUGUCUGGUGGGUAGUUUGACUGGGGCGGUCUCCUCCCAAAGAGUAACGGAGGAGCACGAAGGUUAGCUAAUCCUGGUCGGACAUCAGGAGGUUAGUGCAAAGGCAUAAGCUAGCUUGACUGCGAGAGUGACGGCUCGAGCAGGUGCGAAAGCAGGUCUUAGUGAUCCGGUGGUUCUGCAUGGAAGGGCCAUCGCUCAACGGAUAAAAGGUACUCCGGGGAUAACAGGCUGAUACCGCCCAAGAGUUCAUAUCGACGGCGGUGUUUGGCACCUCGAUGUCGGCUCAUCACAUCCUGGGGCUGAAGUAGGUCCCAAGGGUAUGGCUGUUCGCCAUUUAAAGUGGUACGCGAGCUGGGUUUAGAACGUCGUGAGACAGUUCGGUCCCUAUCUGCCGUGGGCGUUGGAAGAUUGAGAGGGGUUGCUCCUAGUACGAGAGGACCGGAGUGAACGCACCACUGGUGUACGGGUUGUGAUGCCAAUUGCAUUGCCCGGUAGCUAAGUGCGGAAGAGAUAACCGCUGAAAGCAUCUAAGCGGGAAACUUGCCUCGAGAUGAGUCUUCCCUGGGACUUUGAGUCCCCUAAAGGGCCGUUGAAGACGACGACGUAGAUAGGCCGGGUGUGUAAGCGCAGCGAUGCGUUGAGCUAACCGGUACUAAUGACCCGAGAGGCUUAACCUUACAACACCGAAGGUGUUUUA